rnacentral:rRNA from 1 species
UACGUAGGGUGCGAGCGUUGUCCGGAAUUAUUGGGCGUAAAGGGCUCGUAGGCGGUUUGUCGCGUCGGGAGUGAAAACCAGGUGCUUAACACCUGGCUUGCUUUCGAUACGGGCAGACUAGAGGUAUGCAGGGGAGAACGGAAUUCCUGGUGUAGCGGUGAAAUGCGCAGAUAUCAGGAGGAACACCGGUGGCGAAGGCGGUUCUCUGGGCAUGACCUGACGCUGAGGAGCGAAAGCGUGGGGAGCAAACCGG